rnacentral:rRNA from 1 species
UACGAAGGGGGCUAGCGUUGCUCGGAAUCACUGGGCGUAAAGGGAGCGUAGGCGGGUUUCUAAGUCAGGUGUUUAAUCCCGGGGCCCAACCCCGGACAGGCACUUGAAACUGGGAAUCUUGAAUAGUGGAGAGGUCAGUGGAAUUGGGGGUGUAGCGGUGGAAUGCGUAGAGAUCCCCAAGAACACCAGUUGCGAAGGCGGCUGACUGGACACAUAUUGACGCUGAGGCUCGAAAGCAUGGGGAGCAAACGGG